UGCAAGUCGAGCGGAUGAGGGGAGCUUGCUCCCUGAUUCAGCGGCGGACGGGUGAGUAAUGCCUAGGAAUCUGCCUGGUAGUGGGGGACAACGUUUCGAAAGGAACGCUAAUACCGCAUACGUCCUACGGGAGAAAGCAGGGGACCUUCGGGCCUUGCGCUAUCAGAUGAGCCUAGGUCGGAUUAGCUAGUUGGUGGGGUAAAGGCUCACCAAGGCGACGAUCCGUAACUGGUCUGAGAGGAUGAUCAGUCACACUGGAACUGAGACACGGUCCAGACUCCUACGGGAGGCAGCAGUGGGGAAUAUUGGACAAUGGGCGAAAGCCUGAUCCAGCCAUGCCGCGUGUGUGAAGAAGGUCUUCGGAUUGUAAAGCACUUUAAGUUGGGAGGAAGGGCAUUAACCUAAUACGUUAGUGUUUUGACGUUACCGACAGAAUAAGCACCGGCUAACUUCGUGCCAGCAGCCGCGGUAAUACGAAGGGUGCAAGCGUUAAUCGGAAUUACUGGGCGUAAAGCGCGCGUAGGUGGUUCAGCAAGUUGGAUGUGAAAGCCCCGGGCUCAACCUGGGAACUGCAUCCAAAACCACUGAGCUAGAGUAUGGUAGAGGGUGGUGGAAUUUCCUGUGUAGCGGUGAAAUGCGUAGAUAUAGGAAGGAACACCAGUGGCGAANGCGACCACCUGGACUGAUACUGACACUGAGGUGCGAAAGCGUGGGGGAGCAAACAGGAUUAGAUACCCUGGUAGUCCACGCCGUAAACGAUGUCAACUAGUUGUUGGGUUCCUUGAGAACUUAGUAACGAAGCUAACGCGAUAAGUUGACCGCCUGGGAGUACGGCCGCAAGGUUAAAACUCAAAUGAAUUGACGGGGGCCCGCACAAGCGGUGGA
rnacentral:rRNA from 1 species